rnacentral:rRNA from 1 species
UACGUAGGGUGCGAGCGUUAAUCGGAAUUACUGGGCGUAAAGCGUGCGCAGGCGGUUAUGCAAGACAGAUGUGAAAUCCCCGGGCUCAACCUGGGAACUGCAUUUGUGACUGCAUAGCUGGAGUGCGGCAGAGGGGGAUGGAAUUCCGCGUGUAGCAGUGAAAUGCGUAGAUAUGCGGAGGAACACCGAUGGCGAAGGCAAUCCCCUGGGCCUGCACUGACGCUCAUGCACGAAAGCGUGGGAAGCAAACAGG